UUCAUUUGGACCUUUCACCCUGUCCCAGGAGAGUUGCCAAGCAAUCCCACCAAGAUUUUCGUCUUCUCAUCCUAAGUGCUACCCGAAAUACUACCAGAGUAAAACUUGUCCUCUUUGGCUGGAUUUCUGCAGACCUUCAGGGCAGAGAAAUCAGGAGACCGAGGAUUGGACAGUGACAGGAACAUACUUCUGCCUGUUUUCAAUAACCAGGGAAGAAGGAGGCUUGGUGGCCAACUGGAGGCAUUUCCUCUGACAGCCUCUGUUCCAGAAUGGUCUCUUUUACAAACGUGGCUAAGAAAACACGGGUAAAUCAUGGAUAAUUUAAAAGCAAAAGAACCUUUAGGACCACUGGGCUCGCCUCUUUCAUCUCCUCGCCCUCAUAAUUGCCCUCCAUUGCGAGACCUCCUCCGCGCACCCUCAUCUGCCUGUCCGGAAGCUUUAACAGGAACCCUCCAUGCUGACUCAUCCUAGAAAGGUUGCUGUACCUCCCUGGGAGCCCUUUCUUCCAAGCAAGACCUGGAUCCUGAGGAAUGAGAGGGAAAUGACAAGCUCAGGACAGAGCCACAGUUACCUUCACAAAUACCCAGGGGCCCCAGGGACAGACCUCGACCCUGCACCCAGGUC